rnacentral:rRNA from 1 species
AAUCAACGCUGGCGGCGUGCCUCAGACAUGCAAGUCGAACGAUUAAAGCUCUCUUCGGAGAGUGCAUAAAGUGGCGCACGGGUGAGUAACACGUAAGUAAUCUACCUUCGAGUGGGGAAUAACGUCCGGAAACGGACGCUAAUACCGCAUAAUGCAGCGGCAUCGCAAGAUGACAGUUGUUAAAGAUUUAUCGCUUGAAGAGGAGCUUGCGGCAGAUAGCUAGUUGGUAAGGUAAUGGCUUACCAAGGCUACGAUCUGUAACCGGUCUAAGAGGACGGUCGGUCACACUGACACUGAAUAACGGGUCAGACUCCUAC